CACAUGCAAGUCAACUUGACUGAAGAGCAAUCUGACAGUAGAGUGCGCAAGGGUGCGUAACGUCGUAAGUAACUUGCCCAAGGUAAGGAAUAACGUCGAGAAAUCGGCGCUAAUACCUCAUAAUGCAGCGGAUCCGCAUGGAUAUGUUGUUAAAGGUUUACCGCCUUGGGAUAGGCUUGCGUCUGAUUAGCUAGUUGGUGUGGUAACGGCACACCAAGGCUACGAUCAGUAACUGGUCUGAGAGGAUGAUCAGUCACACUGGAACUGAGACACGGUCCAGACUCCUACGGGAGGCAGCAGUGAGGAAUAUUGGGCAAUGCUCGAAAGAGUGACCCAGCAACGCCGCGUGGAGGAUGAAGGUAUUCUAUAUCGUAAACUCCUGUGAGAGCAGACGAAAGACAGAUUAUUAAUCUGGAUGACUGUAUGCUCAGAGGAAGCCCCGGCUAACUACGUG
rnacentral:rRNA from 1 species